UACGUAGGCAGCGAGCGUUGUUCGGAAUUACUGGGCGUAAAGAGUGUGUAGGCGGUGCUGUAAGUUCGGUGUGAAAUCUCCUGGCUCAACUGGGAGGGUGCGCCGGAAACUGGAGUGCUUGAGUGUGGGAGAGGAAAGCGGAAUUCCUGGUGUAGCGGUGAAAUGCGUAGAUAUCAGGAGGAACACCUGUGGUGUAGACGGCUUUCUGGACCAUAGCUGACGCUGAGACACGAAAGCGUGGGUAGCAAACAGG
rnacentral:rRNA from 1 species